UACCAGCACCCCGAGUGGUCGGGACGAUUAUUGGGCCUAAAGCAUCCGUAGCCGGUUCUGCAAGUCCCCCGUUAAAUCCAGCUGCUCAACAGAUGGGCCGCGGAGGAUACUACAGAGCUAGGAGGCAGGAGAGGCAAGCGGUACUCGAUGGGUAGGGGUAAAAUCCGUUGAUCCAUUGAAGACCACCAGUGGCGAAGGCGGCUUGCCAGAACGCGCCCGACGGUGAGGGAUGAAAGCUGGGGGAGCAAACCGG
rnacentral:rRNA from 1 species